AACGAACGCUGGCGGCAUGCCUAACACAUGCAAGUCGAACGAGACCUUCGGGCCUAGUGGCGCACGGGUGCGUAACGCGUGGGAACCUGCCCUUAGGUUCGGAAUAACUCCCCGAAAGGGGUGCUAAUACCGGAGAAUGUCUUCGGACCAAAGAUUUAUCGCCUUUGGAUGGGCCCGCGUUGGAUUAGCUAGUUGGUAGGGUAAAAGCCUACCAAGGCGACGAUCCAUAGCUGGUCUGAGAGGAUGAUCAGCCACACUGGGCCUGAGACACGGCCCAGACUCCUACGGGAGGCAGCAGUGGGGAAUAUUGGACAAUGGGCGCAAGCCUGAUCCAGCCAUGCCGCGUGAGUGAUGAAGGCCUUAGGGUUGUAAAGCUCUUUUACCCGGGAUGAUAAUGACGGUACCGGGAGAAUAAGCUCCGGCUAACUCCGUG
rnacentral:rRNA from 1 species